CAGCACGAUGCCUCCGGGGCUUCUCUGAUAAUUUUUAUGAUUCUAAAUCCCCGAUGGACGUGCUAGAUCGCCGCCGUUCGUGUUGCAGUUCUCCCUAAUUUUGACGGCCGAUCUGUGUCAAAGUAAUGGCUAAAUAU